GGACAUCUAGCUCAUAUGGUAGAGCAACGGCCUUUUAAGCCGCAGGUACAGGGUUCGAUUCCCUGGGUGUCCA
rnacentral:tRNA from 1 species